rnacentral:rRNA from 1 species
UUAAGUUAUUAAGGGCGCACGGUGGAUGCCUUGGCACUAGAAGCCGAUGAAGGACGUUACUAACGACGAUAUGCUUUGGGGAGCUGUAAGUAAGCUUUGAUCCAGAGAUUUCCGAAUGGGGAAACCCAGCAUGAGUUAUGUCAUGUUAUCGAUAUGUGAAUACAUAGCAUAUCAGAAGGCACACCCGGAGAACUGAAACAUCUUAGUACCCGGAGGAAGAGAAAGAAAAUUCGAUUCCCUUAGUAGCGGCGAGCGAAACGGGAAGAGCCCAAACCAACAAGCUUGCUUGUUGGGGUUGUAGGACACUCUAUACGGAGUUACAAAGGACGACAUUAGACGAAUCAUCUGGAAAGAUGAAUCAAAGAAGGUAAUAAUCCUGUAGUCGAAAAUGUUGUCUCUCUUGAGUGGAUCCUGAGUACGACGGAGCACGUGAAAUUCCGUCGGAAUCUGGGAGGACCAUCUCCUAAGGCUAAAUACUCUCUAGUGACCGAUAGUGAACCAGUACCGUGAGGGAAAGGUGAAAAGCACCCCGGAAGGGGAGUGAAAUAGAACCUGAAACCGUGUGCUUACAAGUAGUCAGAGCCCGUUAAUGGGUGAUGGCGUGCCUUUUGUAGAAUGAACCGGCGAGUUACGAUUUGAUGCAAGGUUAAGCAGUAAAUGUGGAGCCGUAGCGAAAGCGAGUCUGAAUAGGGCGUUUAGUAUUUGGUCGUAGACCCGAAACCAGGUGAUCUACCCUUGGUCAGGUUGAAGUUCAGGUAACACUGAAUGGAGGACCGAACCGACUUACGUUGAAAAGUGAGCGGAUGAACUGAGGGUAGCGGAGAAAUUCCAAUCGAACCUGGAGAUAGCUGGUUCUCUCCGAAAUAGCUUUAGGGCUAGCCUCAAGUGAUGAUUAUUGGAGGUAGAGCACUGUUUGGACGAGGGGCCCCUCUCGGGUUACCGAAUUCAGACAAACUCCGAAUGCCAAUUAAUUUAACUUGGGAGUCAGAACAUGGGUGAUAAGGUCCGUGUUCGAAAGGGAAACAGCCCAGACCACCAGCUAAGGUCCCAAAAUAUAUGUUAAGUGGAAAAGGAUGUGGCGUUGCCCAGACAACUAGGAUGUUGGCUUAGAAGCAGCCAUCAUUUAAAGAGUGCGUAAUAGCUCACUAGUCGAGUGACACUGCGCCGAAAAUGUACCGGGGCUAAACAUAUUACCGAAGCUGUGGAUUGUCCUUUGGACAAUGGUAGGAGAGCGUUCUAAGGGCGUUGAAGCAUGAUCGUAAGGACAUGUGGAGCGCUUAGAAGUGAGAAUGCCGGUGUGAGUAGCGAAAGACGGGUGAGAAUCCCGUCCACCGAUUGACUAAGGUUUCCAGAGGAAGGCUCGUCCGCUCUGGGUUAGUCGGGUCCUAAGCUGAGGCCGACAGGCGUAGGCGAUGGAUAACAGGUUGAUAUUCCUGUACCACCUAUAAUCGUUUUAAUCNNNNNNNNNNNNNNNNNNNNNNNNNNNNNNNNNNNNNNNNNNNNNNNNNNNNNNNNNNNNNNNNNNNNNNNNNNNNNNNNNNNNNNNNNNNCUCGUUAAGGAACUCGGCAAAAUGACCCCGUAACUUCGGGAGAAGGGGUGCUCUUUAGGGUUAACGCCCAGAAGAGCCGCAGUGAAUAGGCCCAAGCGACUGUUUAUCAAAAACACAGGUCUCUGCUAAACCGUAAGGUGAUGUAUAGGGGCUGACGCCUGCCCGGUGCUGGAAGGUUAAGAGGAGUGGUUAGCUUCUGCGAAGCUACGAAUCGAAGCCCCAGUAAACGGCGGCCGUAACUAUAACGGUCCUAAGGUAGCGAAAUUCCUUGUCGGGUAAGUUCCGACCCGCACGAAAGGCGUAACGAUUUGGGCACUGUCUCAACGAGAGACUCGGUGAAAUCAUAGUACCUGUGAAGAUGCAGGUUACCCGCGACAGGACGGAAAGACCCCGUGGAGCUUUACUGUAGCCUGAUAUUGAAAUUCGGCACAGCUUGUACAGGAUAGGUAGGAGCCUUUGAAACGUGAGCGCUAGCUUACGUGGAGGCGCUGGUGGGAUACUACCCUAGCUGUGUUGGCUUUCUAACCCGCACCACUUAUCGUGGUGGGAGACAGUGUCAGGCGGGCAGUUUGACUGGGGCGGUCGCCUCCUAAAAGGUAACGGAGGCGCUCAAAGGUUCCCUCAGAAUGGUUGGAAAUCAUUCAUAGAGUGUAAAGGCAUAAGGGAGCUUGACUGCGAGACCUACAAGUCGAGCAGGGUCGAAAGACGGACUUAGUGAUCCGGUGGUUCCGCAUGGAAGGGCCAUCGCUCAACGGAUAAAAGCUACCCCGGGGAUAACAGGCUUAUCUCCCCCAAGAGUUCACAUCGACGGGGAGGUUUGGCACCUCGAUGUCGGCUCAUCGCAUCCUGGGGCUGUAGUCGGUCCCAAGGGUUGGGCUGUUCGCCCAUUAAAGCGGUACGCGAGCUGGGUUCAGAACGUCGUGAGACAGUUCGGUCCCUAUCCGUCGUGGGCGUAGGAAAUUUGAGAGGAGCUGUCCUUAGUACGAGAGGACCGGGAUGGACAUACCUCUGGUGUACCAGUUGUCGUGCCAACGGCAUAGCUGGGUAGCUAUGUGUGGACGGGAUAAGUGCUGAAAGCAUCUAAGCAUGAAGCCCCCCUCAAGAUGAGAUUUCCCAACUUCGGUUAUAAGAUCCCUCAAAGAUGAUGAGGUUAAUAGGUUCGAGGUGGAAGCAUGGUGACAUGUGGAGCUGACGAAUACUAAUCGAUCGAAGACUUAAUCAA